UACGGGAGGCAGCAGUGGGGAAUAUUGCACAAUGGGCGAAAGCCUGAUGCAGCUAUGCCGCGUGUAUGAAGAAGGCCUUAGGGUUGUAAAGUACUUUCAUCGGGGAGGAAAAAACAAAACUAAUAAUUUUAUUUCUUGACGUUACCCGAAAAAGAAGCACCGGCUAACUCCGUGCCAGCAGCCGCGGUAAUACGGAGGGUGCUAGCGUUAAUCAGAAUUACUGGGCGUAAAGAGCACGUAGGUGGUUUUUUUAAAGUCAGAUGUGAAAUCCCUGGGCUUAACCUAGGAACUGCAUUUUGAAACUGAAAUACUAGAGUAUCGUAGAGGGAGGUAGAAUUCUAGGUGUAGCGGUGAAAUGCGUAGAUAUCUGGAGGAAUACCUGUGGCGAAAGCGGCCUCCUAAACGAAUACUGACACUGAGGUGCGAAAGCGUGGGGAGCAAACAGGGAUUAGAUACC
rnacentral:rRNA from 1 species